rnacentral:rRNA from 1 species
UGGCGGCAGGCCUAACACAUGCAAGUCGAGCGGUAACAUUUCUAGCUUGCUAGAAGAGUGACGAGCGGCGGACGGGUGAGUAACGCGUAGGAAUCUACCUAGUAGUGGGGGAUAGCCCAGAGAAAUUUGGAUUAAUACCGCAUACGCCCUACGGGGGAAAGCGGGGGAUCUUCGGACCUCGUGCUAUUAGAUGAGUCUGCGUCGGAUUAGCUUGUUGGUGAGGUAAUGGCUCACCAAGGCGACGAUCCGUAGCUGGUCUGAGAGGAUGACCAGCCACACUGGAACUGAGACACGGUCCAGACUCCUACGGGAGGCAGCAGUGGGGAAUAUUGCACAAUGGGCGCAAGCCUGAUGCAGCCAUGCCGCGUGUGUGAAGAAGGCCUUAGGGUUGUAAAGCACUUUCAGCAGUGAGGAAAGGGUGUCGUUAAUAGCGCCAUCCUGUGACGUUAACUGCAGAAGAAGGACCGGCUAACUCCGUG